UAGGGAAUCUUCCACAAUGGACGCAAGUCUGAUGGAGCAACGCCGCGUGAGUGAAGAAGGUCUUCGGAUCGUAAAACUCUGUUGUUAGAGAAGAACACGAGUGAGAGUAACUGUUCAUUCGAUGACGGUAUCUAACCAGCAAGUCACGGCUAACUACGUGCCAGCAGCCGCGGUAAUACGUAGGUGGCAAGCGUUGUCCGGAUUUAUUGGGCGUAAAGGGAACGCAGGCGGUCUUUUAAGUCUGAUGUGAAAGCCUUCGGCUUAACCGGAGUAGUGCAUUGGAAACUGGAAGACUUGAGUGCAGAAGAGGAGAGUGGAAUUCCAUGUGUAGCGGUGAAAUGCGUAGAUAUAUGGAGGAACACCGGUGGCGAAAGCGGCUCUCUGGUCUGUAACUGACGCUGAGGCUCGAAAGCGUGGGGAGCGAACAGGAUUAGAUACCCUGGUAGUCCACGCCGUAAACGAUGAGUGCUAGGUGUUAGGUCCUUUCCGGGACUUAGUGCCGCAGCUAACGCAUUAAGCACUCCGCCUGGGGAGUACGACCGCAAGGUUG
rnacentral:rRNA from 1 species